rfam:Gossypium raimondii Chr02_contig_1462, whole genome shotgun sequence.
UAUUAAAAAAUUGAUCCAUUUCUAAUGUUAAAAACUGGUGUGGUUGAUGGAAUAACCAGACAAUGACAUAUGGCGUGUCACAUGCACCUCAUGCUCAUGUAUAACACUAGUUUUUUUAAAUAUAGAAAUGGAUGAUUUUUUUAAUC